rnacentral:rRNA from 1 species
UACAGAGGGUGCAAGCGUUAAUCGGAAUUACUGGGCGUAAAGCGUGCGUAGACGGUUAUGUAAGUCGGGUGUGAAAGCCCCGGGCUCAACCUGGGAAUUGCAUUCGAGACUGCAUAGCUAGGGUGCGGAAGAGGGAAGCGGAAUUUCCGGUGUAGCGGUGAAAUGCGUAGAUAUCAGGAGGAACACCAACGGCGAAGGCAGCACUCUGGGCCGGUACUGACGCUGAGGAGCGAAAGCGUGGGGAGCAAACAGG